GAUCGAAAAUGAUUAAAUAGACAAGUUAACGAGACGAGGGCAAAGGUCGCGGUAUAUUCGAUGGAUCUUUUAAUCGACGAAAAUCCCAUGAAAGUUAGAAGAUAUUUUAACAUCGGACGUUCUACCCGGCAAAAUGAAUGAAUUUUCAAGACGGAAAUGAUUACCGAGCCGGUGCUCGUGAAAGAAGCAUGCACGUCGGUGCUUAAUUAAUCGAUUCACUUUGACGGCACACGCGUGCAAAAAACGUUGAGAUGCUGUAAGGAAAGAGGGUCAACUUCUUUGCUCGGUAAUAAAAGAAAAAAAGUUGCUUCGCAGAGGUUGCCUUGGUUAGGUGGAAAAAUUGUGAAAUUAAUGAUUCGUUUUAAAGCGCAAAAAUGCUUUUCAUAUGAGCAUCGUUCGGCUGCUAUAUGGGACAUUAUUCGGAGGAAAGGAACGAAACAUUUUUCAAUAAAAACACCACCGAUAGCAAUUGGAAAAAUAUUAGGACGGAAUUAGAAUUUUAUGCGACGAAAUGGAAAAUGUUUGAACAAUAAAUAGAGGAAAAAGAAAUACGUCUGAUUUGAUGCUUAUCGAUGUAUAUAAAUAAUGAUAUAUAAGUCGGCAACUCGAUCCGUGAUGUUUUCAACAGGAUUUUUAUGAAUAUGUAGAAUUUUUUGGACAAUAGUAGACAUCAGGAUAAUGAAAAAUGUUCAUUUACACAAAUAUUGGAUGAAGCUUAUUCUUUAAUUUACGAAGAAUUUAAUUUUCCGCUAAAAGGACUUACACGCUAAAUAUUCGUCGUAUGCGAUGUAAACAAGGGAACCAAAAUACAACAGAACCUUGAUUAUUCGAAUUAAUUAUAGCAUACCCUGUUUGGAUAACUGAAAUGUUCGGCUAGUCGAAUAACUUCGUUUUCAUGUACGAGGGAAUUUUUUAUUUUGCAGUAUUUUCUAGAUAUUGACAUUAAACGCGAAUAACAACUUUUAAUUAUUAAUAUAACGAUAAACAUAUUUAAAUAUAUAAGCUCUAUGAAACUGUAUUUAGAAUAAUUUUAUUUAGAAAAAUUGAAUUAAAUUUCAAAUAAUCGAUCGUUACAUGAUCAAACCUCUCUCUCUCUCUCUCUCUCUCUCUCUCUCUCUAUCUAUCUAUAUAUAUAUAUACGUUGAAAUUUGAUUCUAAUAUAUCGAGUUACAUUUAAAAUAACAUAUUUAAUCGACUUACAAUCUGUUGCUCUACUGUUAUAAAGCAAUUUCCUAAAUAUCCGAUCCUCUAUCAGGACAUGGAAAAAUAUUAAUUACUAAUUACCGUGGUGCAACGUGAUCGAUCGCAAAACUGAUGGAACACUCUCCGAUAGACUAGGCCGGCAAUUACGCGUAUAAUCGGUGUGCGUAAUAUUUUAUUAUGGAUGGAAGGUUGGCAGAAGGUCGAUAGAGGGGUGAGAAGCUGGCGCUUAGAGGGGUGGGCGUCGAACAGGAGCGGAGCUGAAUGCUAAACACGGCUAGUCUGUUACGUGUGGUUGCAGUUUGGCUUCUUAAUGAAAACCAGCGGCAUGGAAACGUCAGGUUUGGUUUACCCUGCAAUUGGAAGCACGUCUCCUUCGAGACAGGCGUUACCGACGCCAAGAGGAAAGGCGAUGCAAGAUAUGGAUUUAACUACCUUAAUUUUCGACACUUUAACUCGUUGCAUAAUGCCACCUGACCUUUUAUGCUGUUCGUGAUAACCAUUGAUCUAUGCAUAUGAUCUUUGUUUCUUCUCGAAGGAUAGAUGAGAGGCACAAUGUAGUAGCAACAGUGUUUUUGUGGGUGGAAAUCUGGAGAUGAAGCAUGAUUUUUCAAAUGGAAUGUUCACAGCGUUGUAUAAUAGAAUACACAUUUUACACAGUGCACGAUUUUCCGUUCAAACAACGAAAUGAAUUUGAUUAUGAAGCAUUGGACAUCCUACUUAAAAAAUCAAGACUGAUCCUUAUCUCCUAACAAAAAGCUAUUGCUACUGUAUCUUCCUCUGCAGAACCACACAGUGGAAUACAGCGUACAUGGUGGAAUUACGCUGUUAAAUGAAAGAUGGAACCUUGGAAAAUCAACUAUUGUAUAAAAACAAUAACCAAUUUUGAUAAAAAUUUUCGAAGAUUUUGUAAAUUUUACCAAUACCUACGUACAAAAAAUUCAAAAAAAAUUGAAGGAACAAAAUAAUGUAAGGAUCAUACAUGCUUAAAAUUUAGUAGACAGACGUGUCUGAUUUAUCAGACAUAUACUACUGCGUUCAACAUUACACACGCUGCACUGUACGCCCGUAUGUCUAACAAUUUUCUAUCAUCCUAUACUAUAUCAGUACAGCUAAAAUACAUCACAAUCUAUUCCUAACCAACUCGAAUCCCCAUUUCCUUACAUUUAUUCACCGGUCUAAUGGAGGCCGUUCUCCAAUCAGUUUUAAACAUUCUCUAAACUCGAGGAAGCAUCGAGAAAAUAGAUUAAAUCGAUCGGACACGUGUAUGGUGGUAGAGCUUUCGCGAAAUCCCUUCAGAGUCUAGACUUCACACCCAAAUUUAGAUCAAUCCGAAACAGACCUUGAUACUUUUAAUAUAAAACUAAUUUUCCUCUUCAUAUUUAACUAGAAAACCCCGAUAGCAAGUAAUUCUCAAGUAGCUACGGUAACAAUCCCCAACUAAUCAAGAAGAACAAGUGGACAUUCAAGAGGUCAUAUGCCAAUCCAAGAAAACAGCAACCACCUGUAUGUUACAGAAAAGUCACCCUAGAUACGACCACGUCAAACAUACCUAACAAACUACCCUAACCAGCCCCUUAAUUUCUCCUUCCACGGCUCUUACACCCCAGAUGUUAUAUGUAUCCCUUCGCUCGAUCAACUCUACAUCAAACAGUCACCCCAUAAUGAGUCCGUAACGUCACGAAAACAACGGAAACCGACAGCGACCUCGGCCACGCUAGUUUGCGUCGCCGAGAAUUCCAGCGCAGGUGCGUGUUGCGUGUUAUCGACUAGCGAUAAACGGUCGGCCAAUACAUCGAUGGAACAUCUACGAGAGCCAGUAUAGGGGUAAGUCUGAUGGCGCGGCUGCGGCCGCCAACGAUCAAAAUGGAUGUUCGUGCCGAUAGCGUAGCCCUUCGCGUGCUCUAGCCACCCAAUUAGCUCCCUCGCAACAAGCAGCCACCCUCUGACCGACGAUCAGCGAACUUCUACCCUCCUUACUGCAAUUCAAGAACGAUCAACGUUGCUGGAAACACGGGAAGGAGCUGGCAGGCACGUACGUGGCCAACCAAGCUGGAGAUAUACGAGGAACGAAUAUCCGGAAGGGGCGGUCUGAAACUUUGGACUUUGUCCAUCGUGAAGGGAGAACGAAGUGCCCCUGUCUCUAUCGUAACGCGCUGCUGCACGUGCACGCUGACAAACAGGCCUUCCUCUAGGGCCUAGUGACCGAUGGGGCUCGGAGUAUAAACUACGAGAUUGAGGAAGGGUUGUUCUCCAGAGGGAUACAGCGACAAUGCUCGAAAUCGUAACGUUUUACGGGGAAGAUCAAUGAUGAUGUAUUUCAAGAUCGUUGGAUUACAGUUCAAAGUAUGAAAUAAUUCUUUAAUUAUCGAAGAUUAUAAAAUUUGUGAACAAUAAAAUUCAUGCAUGUAACAUUCCUUAUUACUGUCAUUUUAU